UUCGGUAUCCUGUGUUGCCUACCUAUCGAAAGGAAUCCGAUGGUUUUGUUAGUCCCUUUCCGCCCCCUGCCCUCACGGGUUUUGGGGUGGACAUCAGGCAAGCCUCGUGUUCCAGGCAUGCUUCGCCCAGCUGCGUCGCUGCCUCGGCCCAUGAGGUGCAUUGCCCGUGCUCUCGGAUGCAGAAUGUUAUGUGCGGGUGCGGGGUCUAUUUAUUAGCUCCGUUUGCCCAAGCAACGCAUUUGUCUUACGACACGAACGACUUCCGUGCCCGUCUUGAGCCCGCGGCCGUAACGGCCUGCCGGGUCUCAUGCGGGCGUCGG
rnacentral:misc_RNA from 1 species